rnacentral:rRNA from 1 species
AUACGGAGGGUCCAAGCGUUAUCCGGAAACAUUGGGUUUAAAGGGUCCGUAGGCGGGCAAUUAAGUCAGAGGUGAAAUCCCACAGCUCAACUGUGGAACUGCCUUUGAUACUGGUUGUCUUGAAUUAUAGUGAAGUAGAUAGAAUAUGUAGUGUAGCGGUGAAAUGCUUAGAUAUUACAUAGAAUACCGAUUGCGAAGGCAGUCUACUAACUGUAUAUUGACGCUGAUGGACGAAAGCGUGGGGAGCGAACAGGAUUAGAAACCCUAGUAGUCC